ACUACUGCCGUCUCCACACCGCAAGUUCACGCGUGUGCCAUAUUUUUAUUAGUGACUGCUAAAUUAGAAAACAUGUGAUUCGUCUGGCAUCCAGUGGUACGACAUUCAUACUAAGUUUCGUGAAAAUCCGUCAUCUGGUUCAAAGGUGAAAGGAGGCAAAUAAGGCACGUAGCAUGUUUUCGUAAGUCUGUUCAGUUUCCUUAAGAACGCCAACUGGUAUUGCAUCUGGAAUUCAAAUUUGACUUGAAGUGGCCUCAUUCCAUGAUCUUGCAUAUCUUGGAGUAUGCUAAAAAAGAAAUGUGUCCAAUAGGAUACAGUGGGUAAACAUUUUCAAGUACUGGAUUGGUAUGCAUCAUGAAAUAUCAAGUAGAUCCAAGGACUCACCUAAAACAGUUCUCCAAUUGAUCUAAGCAUAGACAAAAAUCAUGUUAUUUUUUUUUACAUAAACCAUGAUGAACUGAUGUUGCAUACUUUCCAACAAGCCAUGAGAAAAAUUAAGUGUCACUCUUACACAUAUUACGAUCCUUAAUUUCAUUCAUUCAUUCAUUUACAUUUAUUGAUCCAUAAAUGGCUGGAAGAUCAGUGGAUAUAGAGAUAGUCAAUGACAACACCACCAGUCACAUCAAUAACACAAAUGCAAAUUAAUUGUACUUAAUCCAUCACAAUUACACAUGUUAUCCAAGACAAGUUACAAUGAGUAAAUCAUUAAACAGUUAUAAAAUAUAUAAUGUAAAAGCAUGCAUCAUACUAAUAUCAGUCAAGACUGCAAUAAUCAAACAUGGAAAUAUACCACUAGCCAUCCAGCAUAUGAUAGACCAAGAUCGUUAAUUAAUAUUGAAGUUAACAUAUUCUUCGAAUGAGUGAAAUGAAUUUAGAAGUAGAAAUCUUUUUAAAGGCGAAUCUAAAUUUUUUCAUGUAAUGAGCUAAGUUUUUUUAUGCUAGAAGGAAGAUUAUUAAAAAUCUUGUUUCCAAAAUAAUAUGUUCUUUGUGGAAUAAAGUUAUAUUACAUAUUGGGUAAUGGAAAUUUUUAUUAUGUCUUGUAUUUAUGCCAUUUGGCCAUCCUUUAACUCUUGGAGGGCAGGAGUUCCAUCAUCUACUGUGACUCCAUCAUGUGGUGGUAUAUUACUCUAUGUAAUCGUGAAUCCAAUAAUUUCUCUUAAUCCGACCACUUCUGACACAAGUUUUGUCAUCACAGUCCCACUUCUGACACCAGUUUGUCAUGUAUCAUGGUAACACAAUACGAAAUUAAUGGGUUCCGAAUAAGAGAAAGCUGUUUAUUGGAUAAGUCAUUUACAAUUACAGUCACUCUGAAAUAACAUCUUCCAGAUGACGUAACCUCCUGGUCUGUUGUGUCUUUGCUCUUUGUCCUUAGCUCUGCUGUGUUCUGUUUGACGUCUGCUCUGUUCUAUGUUCUCAAUUCUGACCUCUCAUGGUCAUAACUGAGAGUCGGAAGGCCUAGAAAACACCUUCUUCAAGAUUUCCAUUUCAUGUAUUCUAUCCACUGGUAGUUAGUAUAUUUGUUGCUGCAGGAACUUCACUAGUUCUGGUUUUUCACUUGUUGCAUGAACCUGUUUGUCACCCUAACAAUGAUACAGAACCGUGGAUACCGAGCCGUUGCCUAACAGUGGACGCUCACUGUGUCUUAGAUAUUCUGGCUUUUAGGCAGCACGCUACAAUAUAAAUACUAUGGGGAGAAUUUGCCCAGAAAAUUAUACCAUAAGUCAUAACAAUGAAAAUAUGAUAAAUAAAUCAUUCUUAGUGUUUCCUGUUAGAUAUAAGGUUCAGCAGCCCUCAUUGAAUACCAGGUUGAACCUAAUUUAGAUGUAAGCCAGUCAACAUGUCCUUUCCAUGACAACAUAUUAUUGAUAAUUAAUCCAGUAAAUUUGGUAUUAGUAGAUUUAGCAAUCUGAUUGUUACCAUAGUCAAUAUGCAUAUCCAUUGCAUAGCUAUUCUUAGUAAAAAAUUGUAUAAAAUAUGUUCUACCAAAGUUUAAUGUCAAUAAAUUACCUUUAAACCAAUCA